GAAACCAACAGGGAUUGCCUCAGUAACGGCGAGUGAAGCGGCAAAAGCUCAAAUUUGAAACCCUCGGGAUUGUAAUUUGAAGAUUUGGCAUUGGAGAAAGCUAACCCAAGUUGCUUGGAAUAGUACGUCAUAGAGGGUGACAACCCCGUCUGGCUAACCGUUCUCCAUGUAUUGCCUUAUCAAAGAGUCGAGUUGUUUGGGAAUGCAGCUCAAAGUGGGUGGUAAACUCCAUCUAAAGCUAAAUACUGGUGAGAGACCGAUAGCGAACAAGUACUGUGAAGGAAAGGUGAAAAGAACUUUGAAAAGAGAGUGAAAUAGUAUGUGAAAUUGUUGAUAGGGAAGGAAAUGAGUGGAGAGUGGCCGAGGUUUCAGCCGCCCCUCGUGGGCGGUGUACUGCCGACGCCGAGUCAUCGAUAGCGAGACGAGGGUUACAAAUGGGAGCGCCUUCGGGCGUUCUCCCCUAACCCUCCACACUGCCAC
rnacentral:rRNA from 1 species